UACGGAGGGGGCUAGCGUUGUUCGGAAUUACUGGGCGUAAAGCGCGCGUAGGCGGAUCUGCAAGUCGGGGGUGAAAUCCCGAGGCUCAACCUCGGAACUGCCUUCGAUACUGCGGGUCUCGAGUCCGGGAGAGGUGAGUGGAAUUCCUAGUGUAGAGGUGAAAUUCGUAGAUAUUAGGAAGAACACCAGUGGCGAAGGCGGCUUCCUGGUCCAGCACCGACGUUCAGGCACGAAAGCGUGGGGAGCAAACAGG
rnacentral:rRNA from 1 species